UACAGAGGGGGCAAGCGUUAUUCGGAAUUAUUGGGCGUAAAGGGUGCGUAGGCGGGUCUUUUAAGUCAGGGGUGAAAUCCUGGAGCUCAACUCCAGAACUGCCUUUGAUACUGAGGAUCUUGAGUUCGGGAGAGGUGAGUGGAACUGCGAGUGUAGAGGUGAAAUUCGUAGAUAUUCGCAAGAACACCAGUGGCGAAGGCGGCUCACUGGCCCGGUACUGACGCUGAGGUGCGAAAGCGUGGGGAGCAAACAGG
rnacentral:rRNA from 1 species